rnacentral:lncRNA from 1 species
CUAACACACAUCACACACGAAAACACAUCACACAAGCACACAUCACGCACGCUAACACACAUCACACACUAACACACAUCACACACUAACACACAUCACACGUGCUAAAACACAUCACACAAGCACACAUCACACACACUAACACAUCACACACACUAACACAUCACACAAGCACACAUCACACACGCUAACACAUCACACACUAAC